CUUACUUUGUCUGCUGCCAUGUGAGCUGUGCCUUUCACCUUCCACCAUGAUUGUGAAGCCUUCCCAGACAUGUGACACAACCUCUGACUAUGUGAAGAUACGGUGGGAAGAUGACUGACCGCAAGACAGGAAGAGAGCCCUCACCGAGGAACCAAAUUGGCCAGUAUCUUGAUUUUGGAUUUCUCAACCUCAAGAACCAUGAGAAAUGAAUGUCUGCUGUUCAAGCCACCCAGUCAAUGAAAAAGUUUGGAAACCUUCAUCUAGAAAGUGGUCUAGCAAAGUGUGGUCCAUGGAUGAGUUUGAUCUGCAAACUGCUUGUUAUUGGUUCAUGACAAGAAUUGGUUCCAAACAGUAAAGCCGCCAGAAAAAACAGACAAACUCUUAGGAACAACAAUGCCCAUUAUGUGUGGAGUAGAAGCUGCCAGACUUUGAUUACUGGCCAGAGAUUAACCCCUUUGGUGUCUUAGGGGGGAAAAUGCCAAGUCUGAAUCCAGACAUUUCCAGGAUUUUACAGUCAUUCAUGGUAUGAGACCAGGCGAUUUAUAAUGACUUGUGCAAAAAAAAAAAGACUAUUGGGAGAAGGAAGUGCAAGUCAAAGGCCACGGCUCCUUGCUUCCUGAAUUCUGCCAUGACUAAUUCCAGCAAGCGGACAUAGACCUGAUCACCUCUGCUUUUCCCUUUGCUAGCCUGCCUGGUCAUGGAUGAGAAGCACGCUGCUCUUGCUACCUUCAUGUGGUGGUUUGGGUCCUGAAACAUCCACCUAUUUUCAGAAUAAACUAAAAUAAUUUCUUAA
rnacentral:lncRNA from 1 species